GAUGAAGACGCAGUGAAAUGCGAUAAGUAAUGUGAAUUGCAGAAUUCAGUGAAUCAUCGAAUCUUUGAACGCACAUUGCGCCCGCCAGUAUUCUGGCGGGCAUGCCUGUUCGAGCGUCAUUUCAACCAUCAAGCCCCCGGCUUGUGUUGGGGACCUGCGGCUGCCGCAGGCCCUGAAAACCAGUGGCGGGCUCGCUAGUCACUCCGAGCGUAGUAAUACAUCUCGCUCAGGGCGUGCUGCGGGUUCCGGCCGUUAAAAAGCCUUAUUUACCCAAGGUUGACCUCGGAUCAGGUAGGAAGACCCGCUGAACUUAAGCAUAUCAAUAAGCGGAGGA
rnacentral:misc_RNA from 1 species